GAUCCGGGUUGCGGACAGUGUCUGGUGGGUAGUUUGACUGGGGCGGUCUCCUCCUAAAGAGUAACGGAGGAGCACGAAGGUUGGCUAAUCCUGGUCGGACAUCAGGAGGUUAGUGCAAUGGCAUAAGCCAGCUUGACUGCGAGCGUGACGGCGCGAGCAGGUGCGAAAGCAGGUCAUAGUGAUCCGGUGGUUCUGAAUGGAAGGGCCAUCGCUCAACGGAUAAAAGGUACUCCGGGGAUAACAGGCUGAUACCGCCCAAGAGUUCAUAUCGACGGCGGUGUUUGGCACCUCGAUGUCGGCUCAUCACAUCCUGGGGCUGAAGUAGGUCCCAAGGGUAUGGCUGUUCGCCAUUUAAAGUGGUACGCGAGCUGGGUUUAGAACGUCGUGAGACAGUUCGGUCCCUAUCUGCCGUGGGCGCUGGAGAACUGAGGGGGGCUGCUCCUAGUACGAGAGGACCGGAGUGGACGCAUCACUGGUGUUCGGGUUGUCAUGCCAAUGGCACUGCCCGGUAGCUAAAUGCGGAAGAGAUAAGUGCUGAAAGCAUCUAAGCACGAAACUUGCCCCGAGAUGAGUUCUCCCUGACUCCUUGAGAGUCCUGAAGGAACGUUGAAGACGACGACGUUGAUAGGCCGGGUGUGUAAGCGCAGCGAUGCGUUGAGCUAACCGGUACUAAUGAACCGUGAG
rnacentral:rRNA from 1 species